rnacentral:rRNA from 1 species
GACGAACGCUGGCGGCGUGCCUAAUACAUGCAAGUAGAACGCUGAAGGAGGAGCUUGCUUCUCUGGAUGAGUUGCGAACGGGUGAGUAACGCGUAGGUAACCUGCCUGGUAGCGGGGGAUAACUAUUGGAAACGAUAGCUAAUACCGCAUAAGAGUAGAUGUUGCAUGACUAUUUGCUUAAAAGGUGCAAUUGCAUCACU